ACAUGCCAGUGUUUGCUAGCACAGGCAGACAAGGCAGAGGGAGCCUUGGUGUCAGCUGCUCAGUUGGAACAAACUGUCAUCUCGGAGUUCUCACGAUGCCUAAUGCAGAUCAUUGGCAGCUACACGUCACGAUCUAGAGGUCCAGCUGACGCUCGCGCCUCGCUGCCUCGUCUCAGUCUUGUCCGUCGCUGUUGGUGUGUGUCGCAUUUCUGUUUUCAGUGAAAAACGGCAAUGGCUUUCGCUGUGCAGAUUCGUCAACAGCUGCAGGCGCUUGUUUCGUCCGGCGGUUCCCACAAGGACCAUGACAAGUGAGUGUUGUGAAGGAGAAUGUCAGUCUGGUAAUAUCUCGCCAGCUGCUCUCAGACGUCUCUACGCAACUCACAUCCAUGGCUGAUGGUGUGGCAAAGACAGUAGCCCACUUCACUCUUGAUAAAGUUCAGCCUCAAGUCAUCAGCUUUAAGGAACAAGUGGCCAGCAUCAGGCAACACCUUGCUGACAUAUAUGAGAGGGAGAGUUCCUGGAGAGAAGCAGCAGCUGUUCUUACUGGAAUUCCUCUUGAAACAGGACAGAAGCAGUACAGUGUUGACUAUAAGCUGGAAACCUACCUCAAGAUUGCCCGCCUCUAUCUGGAGGAUGAUGACCCAGUGCAGGGAGAGGCAUAUAUUAACAGAGCCAGCAUCCUGCAGGCAGAGUCCAAGAAUGAACAGCUGCUCAUCUACUACAAAGUUUGUUAUGCAAGAGUUUUGGAUUACCGACGGAAGUUCAUAGAGGCAGCCCAGAGGUACAAUGAGUUGUCUUACCGACCCAUCAUUCAUGAGGAUGAGAGGAUGGAAGCUUUGAAGAAGGCUCUCAUCUGUACUGUCUUAGCUUCAGCAGGCCAGCAGCGAUCCAGGAUGCUGGGGACGCUGUUCAAGGAUGAGCGUUGCCAAAAGCUGCCCUGUUAUCAUAUCCUGGAGAAGAUGCACCUUGACAGGAUCAUCCGCCACAAUGAACUCACAGAAUUUCAGAACAUGCUGCAGCCACAUCAGCAGGCCACCACAUCAGAUGGGUCUACCAUUCUGGACAGAGCUGUUACAGAACACAACCUGCUGGCAGCUAGCAAGCUUUAUAACAACAUAACAUUCUCUGAACUUGGGGCUCUCCUUCAAAUAUCUCCAGCAAAAGCUGAGAAAAUAGCCAGCCAGAUGAUUACUGAGGGACGCAUGAAUGGGUACAUUGAUCAGAUUGAUGGCAUCCUCCACUUUGAGGCACGUGAUGUCCUUCCUCAGUGGGAUAAGCAGAUCCAGUCUCUCUGUUUCCAAGUGAAUGGCAUCAUUGAAAAAAUCAAUAUUGCACAUCCAGAAUGGGUGGCUAAGGUUAUGGAUGAACAAAUGAUGCAAUGAUAGAACAAAUUCCAGACUAGUGUUAUAAUUUGUUCCAUCCACACUGGCGGCAGCUUCCAGCUUCAGGCGGGACAGUUGGAGCUCUCGGGUUGAGACGGGCACCAGGGGAGCGAGCCUCUGACGCGCGCCACACCGCCCCUCGCAAACACCACCCGCGCCUCCCUCACACCCUCGCCGAACACAACAAUACCCCAACGGCAGCAGUGGUUUUGUCCUUCGUAAGGAGUUGCUGGGUGUGGCCUUCAGUAGGAUAAUGAGGAUGGAAGCUGGCAGUGGUGACCACAUCAAGACGUGGCACCACAACACAAUGAAGGCCCGGAACGUGAACACACGAUGAUCCGCUUUGAGGAGGACAGUGUGGCAUUCUCUUGCCUCACAGCAGACUGCAAGAAACAAGAUCCUUCAACCCCAAUCACAGGAAGAGGCAGGAGGGAUGCGGCAGACAGCAGAUGAUGGCAGGUGAUGGCAGCCUCGUGGUUCUCUUCCCUGUUCCUUGGUGGCGCUGCUUCACUCCUUACCGCCUGGUGUCCCCGCUCGGCUCUUUUCACGACUCGCAACGAGGGAGAAAGGUCGAAGUGCGGUGGUCUCGUGGCGGAGGGCUGAAGGAGGCGGUGAAGGAGUGAAGGUGUGAAGUGUGCAGCUUCCACUUCAUCAUCCCAUGAACAGCCCACAGGAAUCUCUACCAGCACCUGGUUAUUAAACAGUGUUGUCACGCCAGGCCCAAUGUACUCCAUUGCAAUCAGGGAGUCAAGCUUCACCAGGAAAAGAGGCAGAGCGUCACCACCUUCAAGCCCCACAAGAGGUAUUAAGUAUCGUUGGGACAAAGCAAUCAGGGAAGAGUCAAGUUGCAGUAAGAAGAGUGUGUCAAGAAUUUCAAGCAGGAAGAACACGUAAAAUUCCCUUCAAGUCAUGGCGGGACCGACAGGCAACCUUCAACACUUGUGAAGGCACGAGAGCUGCAGGCAGUUUCACAAAGAAGAGGUUGCUCAAGGUCACUCAAGUUGACGCAAGGACACAAGAAUUGGCAAGUGUUGUUGCUCCCAGGCCCUGCUGCAAGAGUUCUCCAGUCCACUCCAGUCUGGGAAGGAAGAAUAUAGCAAGUCCCUCUCUUCUGUACUCAACAACCACCACCACCACCUUCAUUCAGGCUUGGGAUAAGUUUUGUACAUUCCAGCACUUCAGUAAUAAGGAAAAAAAGUGCCAUGUUUAUAUUAUUGUUGUGUAUUUAUUCACUUAACAUUCACAUUAAAACAAUAAACAUUCAGUAUACCAUCUUGAACAUAA